rnacentral:rRNA from 1 species
GAGUUUGAUCGUGGCUCAGGAUGAACGCUGGCGGCGUGCCUAACACAUGCAAGUCGAACGGUGGCAGCAAUGUCACAGGUGGCGCACGGGUGAGGAACACGUAGCUAACCGUGCCCUCAAGUACGGGAUAACGGUUCGAAAGGGCUGCUAAGUACCGUAUAAGGACUCACGUGGAGUAAGUACAUGUGAGGAAAAGGUUUACUGGCUUGGGGAGGGGGCUGCGGCCCAUCAGGUAGUUGGUGAGGUAACGGCUCACCAAGCCG